AGAGUUGAUCAUGGCUCAGGACGAACGCUGGCGGCGUGCUUCAUACAUGCAAGUCGAACGAGAAGCUCACUUCGGUGAGUGGAAAGUGGCGGACGGGUGAGUAAUGUGUAGAGAAUCUGCCCUAGGAGUGGGGGAUAGCAGUUGGAAACGACUAUUAAUACCCCAUAUGCGCGUAGCUGCGAUGCUAUUCGUGAAAGCUCCGGUGCUCUGGGAUGAGUCUGCAUCUGAUUAGCUAGUAGGCGGUGUAAUGGACCACCUAGGCGACGAUCAGUAGCUGGUUUGAGAGGAUGAUCAGCCACAAUGGGACUGAGACACGGCCCAUACUCCUACGGGAGGCAGCAGUAGGGAAUAUUGGGCAAUGGGCGAAAAAGCCUGACCCAGCAACGCCGCGUGAGUGAAGAAGGCCUUCGGGUUGUAAAGCUCUGUUAUAGGGGACGAAGGAAGUGACGGUACCCUAUAAGGAAGCCCCGGCUAACUACGUGCCAGCCGCAGC
rnacentral:rRNA from 1 species